GGGUGAGAAGAUCACUCUGACAUGUGAGGUCCAGGGAGGAGAGAAGACUGACUGGAGGUAUUCCUGGAGGAGAAACUCACGAUUACUUCCAGAGGAUGAAAAGUUGUUACAAUUCACUGCUUCUGAGUCCCUCAAUGGAGAGUAUGACUGUAUGGCCACAAGCAGAGAUGACGUUUAUUCUUCAACCACAUGGAGUGAAGCCUUCACAGUGUCAAUGUUACGACCAAAGCUCUCUGUGUCUCCAUCAUGGUUGAUUCCUGGCGCUUCAGUCACUCUGGUCUGUCACACUGAGCCUCCGUCAGCAGGGUGGAGCUUCUACUGGUUCAAAGCUGUUCCAAACUCUCAGGAUUCCUACACCUAUGAGCCUCUACCUGGUACCAGCAGUGGGACAGCAAACAAUUCCUUCACAGUUCAUGGACAGACACACACAGCAGGAUAUGCAUGUUCAGCUGGACGAGGGGAUCCGCUGAUUUACACACAACACAGUCGUCCCACAUUUGUCUGGUCUUCAGGUGUUCAUCCAUCAGCGUCUCUCACAGUGAAUCCUGACAGAGUCCAACACUUCACCUCUGAAUCUCUCUCACUGACAUGUGAAGGAAGCUCUUCCCAGUGGAGGCUGAUCCAGUUUCUGACUGACGACUCGCUGUUGAGCUUUCUUCCUCCAGCUACAAUCAAUGGAUCAACAUAUAUUAAGAAUGAGGCUCCAAGAAAAGCUGUGUACUGGUGUGAGUCUGGAACAGAGUUCAGCAAUGCAGUCAAUAUCUCCACACACUCUGAUGGCGUUAUCCUGGUGAGCCCUGUGUAUCCUGUACCUGUGGGAGAGUCUGUAACUCUCCUCUGUGUCAUGAAGACUGGAAAUAUUCCCUCUGAUGUGUUUUUCUACAAAAA